GUUCUCAGCUCCUAUGAGGAAGUACUUUAAUGAGUGAUCAACUAUUGUUGUCAAAAGAGAUGGCUACAGAGAGUGCCUGGAUUCAUCUGCAUUAAAACCCCUGGAGAAUUUUUAUAGGUUGAACCAAAACAGAAUAAUGAAAUGAACCCUCUUAGGCAGAAAAGCAGAAGCAGACAUGAAAGAUGAUUUCUCUGAAUUAUUUGGCCUUUAUAGGAAGAACCAUGAUGAGCUUCUAGAAAAUACAUUAUUGAUGUGAUGUAAUAAGGAGAUCAAACUCACUGCACCAUCCUGUUAACCUUCACUUGGCAUCCCUAAAGGAGAUGGCGAGAUCACAGACCACUGCAGACAACAGAGCCAUCCCGCUUGUCACACUAAGGCUCUCUUCAGCUUGUGUUGCUAGGAGCUCAGAGACAACAUCUUCAUCAUGCCUCCAAGGCCCUGUGGCUGGGCUUCUGAGAGGAGAGGGCUGGAAGAAGUGUGCAUCAAUUCUGCUGACAUGCAUGGACUUGAUUUCAGUCACAGAGGUAAGGGUCUGACUCCAAAACCAAAGGUGACAAGAAGGAGUAAGGAUAUAA
rnacentral:lncRNA from 1 species